GACGAACGCUGGCGGCGUGCUUAACACAUGCAAGUCGAACGAAGAGCGAUGGAAGCUUGCUUCUAUCAAUCUUAGUGGCGAACGGGUGAGUAACGCGUAAUCAACCUGCCCUUCAGAGGGGGACAACAGUUGGAAACGACUGCUAAUACCGCAUACGAUCUAAUCUCGGCAUCGAGGAUAGAUGAAAGGUGGCCUCUACAUGUAAGCUAUCACUGAAGGAGGGGAUUGCGUCUGAUUAGCUAGUUGGAGGGGUAACGGCCCACCAAGGCGAUGAUCAGUAGCCGGUCUGAGAGGAGGAACGGCCACAUUGGGACUGAGACACGGCCCAGACUCCUACGGGAGGCAGCAGUGGGGAAUCUUCCGCAAUGGACGAAAGUCUGACGGAGCAACGCCGCGUGAGUGAGGGCGGCCGUCGGGUUGUAAAGCUCUGUUAAUCGGGACGAAAGGCCUUCUUGCGAAUAGUGAGAAGGAUUGACGGUACCGGAAUAGAAAGCCACGGCUAACUACGUG
rnacentral:rRNA from 1 species